CGCGUAGGCGGCUCUGUUAGUCAGGCGUGAAAUUCCUGGGCUUAACCUGGGGACUGCGCUUGAUACUGCGGAGCUUGAGGCCGAGAGAGGGUGGUGGAAUUCCCAGUGUAGAGGUGAAAUUCGUAGAUAUUGGGAAGAACACCGGUGGCGAAGGCGACCACCUGGCUCGGUACUGACGCUGAGGCGCGACAGCGUGGGGAGCAAAC
rnacentral:rRNA from 1 species